rnacentral:rRNA from 1 species
AUUGAACGCUGGCGGAAUGCUUUACACAUGCAAGUCGAACGGUAGAGGGGGCAACCCCUCGAGAGUGGCGAACGGGUGAGUAAUAUAUCGGAACGUGCCCAGUCGUGGGGGAUAACGUAGCGAAAGUUACGCUAAUACCGCAUACGAUCUACGGAUGAAAGCGGGGGACCGUAAGGCCUCGCGCGAUUGGAGCGGCCGAUAUCAGAUUAGGUAGUUGGUGGGGUAAAGGCUCACCAAGCCAACGAUCUGUAGCUGGUCUGAGAGGACGACCAGCCACACUGGAAGUGAGACACGGUGCAGACUCCUAAGGGAGGCAGUAGUGGGGAAUUUUGGACAAUGGACGCAAGUCUGAUCCAGCCAUUCCGCGUGCAGGAUGAAGGCCCUCGGGUUGUAAACUGCUUUUGUACGGAACGAAAAGGUUUCCAUUAAUACUGGGAGCUCAUGACGGUACCGUAAGAAUAAGCACCGGCUAACUACGUGCCAGCCGCCGCCGUAA